rnacentral:rRNA from 1 species
UACGAGGGGGGGCGAGCGUUGUUCGGAAUUAUUGGGCGUAAAGGGUGCGUAGGCGGUUUGGUAAGUCUGAUGUGAAAUCUAUGGGCUCAACUCAUAGUCUGCAUCGGAAACUGCCGGGCUAGAAUCCGGAAGAGGCGAGUGGAAUUCCUGGUGUAGCGGUGGAAUGCGCAGAUAUCAGGAGGAACACCAAUAGCGAAGGCAGCUCGCUGGGACGGUAUUGACGCUAAGGCGCGAAAAGCGUGGGGAGCAAACAGG